UCUUAGCUAGCUCGUUAAGUUUUACCCUGAAUGUAGGCCUGAGCUGGGUCGCAAGACCCAUAGCGCUUCCUUGGGGGCCACAUUUAGGCUGGCCUCUUGGCUAGAUCCCUUGUCCGACUUCUAGGGAUGUCAAGACGAAUUUGCAGCGAGGACCGCGCAAACCCUCAGGAAAACACAGCGCUUCCGGGGCAAGAACAGGGGGCUUAUUGGAGCCGCGAGUGCUAACAGGAUCUGCCAAAGAAGAAAAGUAGAGUAAGGUCUGGAGAGAAGGACAGGACCCAGAAGAGCCAGCGUUUAACGACCGGACAUGUCUUAUUUUGCUCAGCCCAGGAGUGGAAUGGUUAAGAACUUAGAGAGACAGACAGGGAACUCCGAAUGCCAGCUCUUGUACUUAGGAACCAUGCGAUCCUGGCUUGAAUGUGUUUCCUUACUGAUUGCACUUCAACCCUCACCUGUAAAUGUAAGGACAAUCUCACAGUGUCGCUGUGGGGAUGACAUGGAGCAGCGUGGGAAGUGCCAAGCACUGUGCUUGUCAUCCAGCCAGCCUGCAGCAGUUAAGAGCCUUUAUCAUGCUUAAUAAUGUCACGGGAGGGGUCCAGCUGACCAGAGUGGAUUAGAAUGGGUGCAACUUCUCAGCCACCAUCUUUGGGUGCGGAACGUCCUCUGGAUUCCUUGUCUUUAAACUCGGGAUAACGUAGUAAGUUUUAAGGAUGACAGCCCUCCUUAACUCAAAGUCUGCUUUUGUUGAGAAAUGAGCAAACACCAGGGGAUGGCCCUGGCUAAAGAUGGAUGGCAUCUGGACCGCCUGACUCACAUCAGUACCUCUGGGUGUGGGCAACGGAGUUUGCUGUACCAGCUUGUCAACACAGUAAGCCUGCUGUUUGGCUCAGAGCGUUGGAUGGACAAUCAGCACGAGCACUCUGGAAAGAGAGACUCCAGAGACUCCAAGGCCUAGUCUGCGCAUGCUGUAGAAGACAUCAGAUCGUUUGGCACCUUACUUUCUUGGUAAAUGAAAGUGGGCUGUGUUAAGAAGCUGAGACCUCCGCGGUUGCCACUUCCUGGUCUGCAGGCUGUUAGGUAGCUUCUGUCACACAGCCCAUGGCCGGUGAGUUACCACCACUGGCGACUGAGUGUCCCAGAAGGCAAAGACUUCCCAAUCACCUUUGUCUGGAACAAUACCUUCCACAGGGCCAAGUAGAUUAGAGAUUCAUGCCUGGUGUAGACCAACUGGCCAACAAAUGCUGAUGCUUGCCCCAUCCUUGUAAUUGUGAUUUCCUGGAGUCCUGACUGCAGUUCCUCUGAUUUCUUUUAUGGGCCUUAGUAAGUCCCCUGGGUGUUACCUUAUCUGUGCUUGCCGGGUUUUCACCAAUCUAACUCUUCCUUGUCAGUCAUGCCCAGGGGGCGUUCCCUGAACCACACAGCAACCACACAGUAAAAUACAUCAAGCCAGGAAGAGUAUAUCCCUCUGGGCUUACAUUUUCUCCAUUAGAAAAGUAAAGACAUUGGA